rnacentral:rRNA from 1 species
AAAGGAAUAGACGGGGACCCGCACAAGCGGUGGAUGAUGUGGAUUAAUUCGAUGCAACGCGAAAAACCUUACCUACCCUUGACAUGUCUGGAAGCUCCAAGAGAUUGGAGUGUGCUCGCAAGAGAACCAGAACACAGGUGCUGCAUGGCUGUCGUCAGCUCGUGUCGUGAGAUGUUGGGUUAAGUCCCGCAACGAGCGCAACCCUCGUCACUAGUUGCUACGCAAGGGCACUCUAGUGAGACUGCCGGUGACAAACCGGAGGAAGGUGGGGAUGACGUCAAGUCCUCAUGGCCCUUAUGGGUAGGGCUUCACACGUCAUACAAUGGUUAGGACAGAGGGUCGCCAACCCGCGAGGGGGAGCUAAUCCCACAAACCUAAUCGUAGUCCGGAUUGCACUCUGCAACUCGAGUGCAUGAAGUCGGAAUCGCUAGUAAUCGCGGAUCAGAAUGCCGCGGUGAAUACGUUCCCGGGUCUUGUACACACCGCCCGU